rnacentral:rRNA from 1 species
UACAGAGGGUGCAAGCGUUAAUCGGAGUUACUGGGCGUAAAGGGCGCGUAGGCGGUUGUUUAAGUGAGAUGUGAAAGCCCUGGGCUUAACCUAGGAACUGCAUCUUAUACUGGAUAACUGGAGUACUGUAGAGGGUAGUGGAAUUUCCGGUGUAGCGGUGAAAUGCGUAGAGAUCGAAAGGAACACCGGUGGCGAAGGCGGCAUCCUGGACCGACACUGACACUGAGGAGCGAAAGCCAGGGGAGCAAACGGG